ACUUAAAUUGAAGAGUUUGAUCAUGGCUCAGAUUGAACGCUGGCGGCAGGCCUAACACAUGCAAGUCGAGCGGUAGCACAGAGAGCUUGCUCUCGGGUGACGAGCGGCGGACGGGUGAGUAAUGUCUGGGAAACUGCCUGAUGGAGGGGGAUAACUACUGGAAACGGUAGCUAAUACCGCAUAAUGUCGCAAGACCAAAGUGGGGGACCUUCGGGCCUCAUGCCAUCAGAUGUGCCCAGAUGGGAUUAGCUAGUAGGUGGGGUAACGGCUCACCUAGGCGACGAUCCCUAGCUGGUCUGAGAGGAUGACCAGCCACACUGGAACUGAGACACGGUCCAGACUCCUACGGGAGGCAGCAGUGGGGAAUAUUGCACAAUGGGCGCAAGCCUGAUGCAGCCAUGCCGCGUGUGUGAAGAAGGCCUUCGGGUUGUAAAGCACUUUCAGCGGGGAGGAAGGCGUUAAGGUUAAUAACCUUGGCGAUUGACGUUACCCGCAGAAGAAGCACCGGCUAACUCCGUGCCAGCAGCCGCGGUAAUACGGAGGGUGCAAGCGUUAAUCGGAAUUACUGGGCGUAAAGCGCACGCAGGCGGUCUGUCAAGUCGGAUGUGAAAUCCCCGGGCUCAACCUGGGAACUGCAUUCGAAACUGGCAGGCUAGAGUCUUGUAGAGGGGGGUAGAAUUCCAGGUGUAGCGGUGAAAUGCGUAGAGAUCUGGAGGAAUACCGGUGGCGAAGGCGGCCCCCUGGACAAAGACUGACGCUCAGGUGCGAAAGCGUGGGGAGCAAACAGGAUUAGAUACCCUGGUAGUCCACGCCGUAAACGAUGUCGAUUUGGAGGUUGUGCCCUUGAGGCGUGGCUUCCGGAGCUAACGCGUUAAAUCGACCGCCUGGGGAGUACGGCCGCAAGGUUAAAACUCAAAUGAAUUGACGGGGGCCCGCACAAGCGGUGGAGCAUGUGGUUUAAUUCGAUGCAACGCGAAGAACCUUACCUGGUCUUGACAUCCACAGAACUUAGCAGAGAUGCUUUGGUGCCUUCGGGAGCUGUGAGACAGGUGCUGCAUGGCUGUCGUCAGCUCGUGUUGUGAAAUGUUGGGUUAAGUCCCGCAACGAGCGCAACCCUUAUCCUUUGUUGCCAGCGGUCCGGCCGGGAACUCAAAGGAGACUGCCAGUGAUAAACUGGAGGAAGGUGGGGAUGACGUCAAGUCAUCAUGGCCCUUACGACCAGGGCUACACACGUGCUACAAUGGCAUAUACAAAGAGAAGCGACCUCGCGAGAGCAAGCGGACCUCAUAAAGUAUGUCGUAGUCCGGAUUGGAGUCUGCAACUCGACUCCAUGAAGUCGGAAUCGCUAGUAAUCGUAGAUCAGAAUGCUACGGUGAAUACGUUCCCGGGCCUUGUACACACCGCCCGUCACACCAUGGGAGUGGGUUGCAAAAGAAGUAGGUAGCUUAACCUUCGGGAGGGCGCUUACCACUUUGUGAUUCAUGACUGGGGUGAAGUCGUAACAAGGUAACCGUAGGGGAACCUGCGGUUGGAUCACCUCCUUACCUUAAAGAA
rnacentral:rRNA from 1 species